rnacentral:rRNA from 1 species
UACGUAGGGCGCAAGCGUUGUCCGGAAUCAUUGGGCGUAAAGAGCUCGUAGGCGGCCUGUUGCGUCCGCUGUGAAAUCCCGGGGCUUAACCCCGGGCGUGCAGUGGAUACGGGCUGGCUGGAGGCAGGCAGGGGAGACUGGAAUUCCUGGUGUAGCGGUGGAAUGCGCAGAUAUCAGGAGGAACACCGGUGGCGAAGGCGGGUCUCUGGGCCGUUACUGACGCUGAGGAGCGAAAGCGUGGGGAGCGAACAGG